CUGUUAUCCUGCUAGUGCACUAAUGGCUCCUGCAAGGGAAGAGCUCCCAGGGGAAGGAGUGGUAUUUACUAACCUUUCCUUGGCUCGCUUUACAUAAUAGCACACUCCUCCAAAUGUCCUCAACGUGACUGGCUAUUCCUCUUUUUUUUUUUUUUUUCAUUCUGUAUGGUAUUUUAAAUUUCAUGAAUGUUAGACAGUAAGAAAAGGUUCUGAAUUCCUCCUGUGUCACUCCCUUCGGAGGCUAUUCUUAGCCAUGCCGUUGGUUCAGGAAUUCAAAGUGAGGCAGUUUUCUUUUUCAAGGUCUCCAAAGAUUUCCUCUAUCCGUAUGUCCAGAUAGAAAAGAAAAACAACCUGAUAGGGAAUCCAGUUUGAAAUUGUACCAUUGCAAUAGUUUGGCCAGGACUUCGUGUUCCCAGGCUGUGCGGGUUAAUGCACAGCUGGGGAGCAAAAAUGGCCAUGCCUGCAUAAAUCUGAGGGUAAAUAAUACCUGAUUCUGAUCUACUUCUGCUCUGUGCUUUUCAGAAACCGUGUCCACACCGUUACAAGUUGCAGUAGCAGGAGAUGGCACAGCCCUCCUGUUGGUCCUGCAGAACUCUCUGCCAUCAGGAGCCAAAGAGAGUUUGAUCACACACCAAACCUUCAGGAGGUGACAGCAGAUUUCAAUCAGCUCCUGGCUCCCCAGUCUUUAAUAAGCAGCUGAGCACGAAGGCUGCAGUGCGAUAAGGAGAGGUUUGGCUUCACCUCCCGGUGCUGCAUCCCUUCGACCUGCUCUGACCAUCACACACGUCUGUCUUGGUCCUCCUC